AUGCUUCAGUCAAUUGGACAGUAUGGUGAGGACUUGGACGGUCCUACUCCUUAUGAAAUGGGUGUCCCAAUAUUGAAUAAGAGGAAGAAAAGAGUUCAGGAGUCCUUCAAUGCACACAGGAAGACUUGGGAGCUUACUGGAUGUACAAUCAUGACAGAUGCAUGGACUGACAUAAGAGGAAGAGGGGUAAUGAAUCUUGUAGUUCAUAGUGCUCAUGGUGUGGUGUUUCUUAAUUUUGUGGACUAUUUAGCCGUGAAGAAAGAUGGGAAGUACAUCUUUGAGCUUGUUGAUAGAUGCAUAGAAGAGGUUGGUGAGAAGCAUGUAGUUCAAGUUGUGACUGAUAAUGCAAGUGUUAAUCAAGCAGCAUCAACCUUGUUGAAAGCAAAGCGCCCCAACAUAUUUUGGAAUGGUUGUGCUGCCCAUUCUAUUGAUCUGAUGUUAGAUGAUAUUGGCAAGCUUAAAACAGUGGACUCUACUAUUACACAAGCUAGAGUUGUCACUGUUUUCCUUUAUGCACACACUAGAGUUUUGUCUCUAAUGAGGGAAUUCCUUGGGAAAAAUCUGGUGAGGUCUGGCAUUACAAGGUUUGCUACAGCUUACUUGAACUUGAAAAGCAUGUUGGACAACAAGAAAGAACUGCAAAAGCUAUUCAGAUCAUAUCAGAUGGAUGAAAUGGGUUACUUAAAAAAGGUGAAAGGACGUGAUUCAAACCGAAGUGUGCGGCUCUGA
rnacentral:rRNA from 1 species